CGGCGAGUGAAGCGGGAAGAGCUCAAAUUUGAAAUCUGGUAGCCUUCGGUUGCCCGAGUUGUAAUCUAGAGAAGUGUUUUCCGCGUUGGCCCAUGUACAAGUCCCUUGGAACAGGGCGUCAUAGAGGGUGAGAAUCCCGUCCUUGACAUGGACCCCCAAUGCUUUGUGAUACACUUUCAACGAGUCGAGUUGUUUGGGAAUGCAGCUCAAAAUGGGUGGUGAAUUCCAUCUAAAGCUAAAUAUUGGCGAGAGACCGAUAGCGAACAAGUACCGUGAGGGAAAGAUGAAAAGCACUUUGGAAAGAGAGUUAAACAGUACGUGAAAUUGUUGAAAGGGAAACGAUUGAAGUCAGUCAUGCUCUUUGGUUUAAGCCGUUCUGCGGUGUAUAUCAUUGAGUGGGGUCAACAUCAGUUUUGACCGYUGGAAAAGGGCAGGAGGAAGGUAGCACUCUCGGGUGAACUUAUAGCCUCCCGUCGUAUACAGUGGUUGGGACUGAGGAACGCAGCAUGCCUUUUGGCCGGGAUUCGUCCACGUACAUGCUUAGGAUGUUGACAUAAUGGCUUUAAACGACCCGUCUUGAAACACGGACCAA
rnacentral:rRNA from 1 species